GGCCCCAUCGUAUAGCGGCCUAGUACACCGCCCUCUCACGGCGGCAGCACGGGUUCAAAUCCCGUUGGGGUCACCA
rnacentral:tRNA from 1 species